GAUGAACGCUGGCGGCGUGCUUAACACAUGCAAGUCGAACGGUGAAGCGGAGCUUGCUCUGUGGAUCAGUGGCGAACGGGUGAGUAACACGUGAGCAACCUGCCCUGGACUCUGGGAUAAGCGCUGGAAACGGCGUCUAAUACUGGAUACGAGACGUGGCCGCAUGGUCAACGUUUGGAAAGAUUUUUUGGUUCAGGAUGGGCUCGCGGCCUAUCAGCUUGUUGGUGAGGUAAUGGCUCACCAAGGCGUCGACGGGUAGCCGGCCUGAGAGGGUGACCGGCCACACUGGGACUGAGACACGGCCCAGACUCCUACGGGAGGCAGCAGUGGGGAAUAUUGCACAAUGGGCGAAAGCCUGAUGCAGCAACGCCGCGUGAGGGAUGACGGCCUUCGGGUUGUAAACCUCUUUUAGCAAGGAAGAGGCGAAAGUGACGGUACUUGCAGAAAAAGCGCCGGCUAACUACGUGCCAGCAGCCGCAGUAAAAC
rnacentral:rRNA from 1 species